rnacentral:rRNA from 1 species
UACGUAGGUGGCGAGCGUUAUCCGGAAUUAUUGGGCGUAAAGAGCGCGCAGGUGGUUGAUUAAGUCUGAUGUGAAAGCCCACGGCUUAACCGUGGAGGGUCAUUGGAAACUGGUCGACUUGAGUGCAGAAGAGGGAAGUGGAAUUCCAUGUGUAGCGGUGAAAUGCGUAGAUAUAUGGAGGAACACCAGUGGCGAAGGCGACUUUCUGGUCUAUUAUUGACGCUGAGGCUCGAAAGCAUGGGUAGCAAACAGGAUUAGAUA